ensembl:snoRNA LOC120097608 small nucleolar RNA SNORA17
ACUGUACUUUGAAGCAUGGCAUGUGUGACUGCUGUGUCACAUGUGUGUCAGUAGAGAAGUGAGAGGCUAUGUCUACACUCAGUAUUCUGACCUAUGAACAUCUGAAUGAUUAUCAGCCUAGCAUU